rnacentral:rRNA from 1 species
GAAUUCACUAGUGAUUCAGGCCUAACACAUGCAAGUCGCACGAACCUUUCGGGGUUAGUGGCGGACGGGUGGGUAACGCGUAGGAAUCUGUCCACGGGUGGGGGAUAACUCUGGGAAACUGGAGCUAAUACCGCAUGAUACCUGAGGGUCAAAGGCGCAAGUCGCCUGUGGAGGAGCCUGCGUUCGAUUAGCUAGUUGGUGGGGUAAAGGCCUACCAAGGCGAUGAUCGAUAGCUGGUUUGAGAGGAUGAUCAGCCACACUGGGACUGAGACACGGCCCAGACUCCUACGGGAGGCAGCAGUGGGGAAUAUUGGACAAGGGGGGCAACCCUGAUCCAGCAAUGCCGCGUGUUGAAAAGGGUCUUCGGAUUGUAAAGCACUUCGACGGGACGAUGAUG